AGGACGAACGCUGGCGGCGUGCCUAACACAUGCAAGUCGAGCGAAGCGUACCGGUCAGCUUGCUGACUGGUAUGACUUAGCGGCGAACGGGUGAGUAACACGUGGGUGAUCUGCCUGGGAGACCGGGAUAACAGUUCGAAAGGGCUGCUAAUACCGGAUGAAGCCCGGUAUUCGUUUACCGGGUCAAAGAUUAUAUCGCUUUCAGAUGAGCCCGCGUCCCAUUAGUUAGUUGGUGAGGUAACGGCUCACCAAGGCGGCGAUGGGUAGCCGGUCUGAGAGGAUGGUCGGCCACACUGGAACUGAGACACGGUCCAGACUCCUACGGGAGGCAGCAGUGGGGAAUUUUGCGCAAUGGGGGCAACCCUGACGCAGCGACGCCGCGUGGGUGAAGAAGGCCUUCGGGUUGUAAAGCCCUGUCUAGGGGGAAGAUAGUGACGGUACCCCUGGAGGAAGCCCCGGCUAACUACGUGCCAGCAGCCGCGGU
rnacentral:rRNA from 1 species